rnacentral:rRNA from 1 species
UACGGGGGGGGCAAGCGUUGUUCGGAAUUACUGGGCGUAAAGGGCUCGUAGGCGGCCAACUAAGUCAGACGUGAAAUCCCUCGGCUCAACUGAGGAACUGCACGGGAAACUGCCUGGCUUGAGUUCGGGAGAGGGAAGCGGAAUUCCGGGUGUAGCGGUGAAAUGCGUAGAUAUCCGGAGGAACACCGGUGGCGAAGGCGGCUUCCUGGACCGACACUGACGCUGAGGCGCGAAAGCUAGGGGAGCAAACGGG